AUGCUCCUGUCCGUCAGCAUUCCCGGUGCCAAAUGUGAGAGACUGGUAAAUUACAUCAGGAAAGAGAACGCCUUCAUGCUUCGGCUGAGAGAUGGGGCAGAGUAUUACCUUGCAGCACCUUCUCAGAGACUGAUGGAGGACUGGCUGCAAUCUCUACAGAAUAACAUAGGUACAUUCCCACUUCAAGAGUGAGCUGUGUUUUUAGCAAGUGAUGGUGAGAGAAAGAGAAGAGAAUGAGAAAGUGUCCUUAGUAGGGGGGAUUCUGAGCUGUGCUUUCUGUCUCUGUUAGACAGCAGCACACAAGUCACCUGCCACCUUGCAAUGUAAUGCCCUGGCAGGAGAAUGUCCAGGGUGACUGGCAAAGAAGCCUUUUGGUUGUACUGCAUCAGGUUAUUCCCGGGGCAGGGUGGGGAUGGGGGUCUUGCCCAAGGACUGUAUUCAUCCUUUUAUUAAAGAGUUGCUUUGGAUCUUGAUCAACAGCUUUUCUUCUGAAUCUAGAGCUUUUUCUGGACACCUCACUAGGCUUAUUGGAAAGGAAGCCAGAGCAGAAUUAUAGCAAUGAUGUUCAGGGAAAGUUGUUACAGACCCAGAAAUGGCAAACUCUGCCUCUAACACUGCUUCAGAAGGUUUUUAUUUGUGUUCUUUGACUCUGCAGGACAGAGUAACAGACCACAUUCCACAAUGAUGCUGCAGCCUUCCACUCCAAACACAGGGACCUCCCAGACAAGACUGUGGGACUUUGCAGACAGAGACUCUGCUGAAAGACUAACCGCCAAAAGCUCACUCCUGAGGUAGGGGCUCUGGGCUGCAAGGCUGCUCUGGCGUUACCGCUGUUUGCGCUUAGGGAGCAGUCACCUACAAAGGGAGAUGAUGGCCCCGAGGUCAAAAAGUCCCGUUCCUCUGUCACUAAUCCAGUGAAACACAUUAUUCCUGAGUAUGACCCUACCUCAAUUAAUUUGUGCCAUGUAUGAUGUGCUACGGCCAGUUUUUAAAAAUGGGCCUUACUGUAGUCAGCCAUGUCUUGCCUGUGACAAAAUUGGGGCACCCAGAGGAAUUCUCGUAUUGGCUAUUUUGUAGGCACCAAAUAAAGUAUCUGAUCUGUAGACCGGGUUAGCUGUA
rnacentral:lncRNA from 1 species